CAUCAGUAUAGUCAACGCCCCCACCACCGUCGCCGACACCAUCAGUUUUUCAUUGUGAAACUCUCUGUCCAUCGCCGACACCAUCCAAGACGCUUCAAAUCGUCCGUAUUGUUAGCGCCAACCUUAACUCAGGUUUCUUCUCUGCUAGCUCCUCCAAUUUCCGAUGCUCCCACAUCGUCUCACUCUUCCAUUUCUCCAUCGAUUCUCGGCUCCUCUCCUUCACCUCCCUCUCUCCACCCACUUCCUGUCCAUGGCCAUCACCUCCACCGUCCGUCCAAGGCUGCCACCGCCACUGCUAUCGCUCUCUCCCCCACAAAGAUUCUUCUUCUCUCAUAACCACCUCCACUAACCACGACCGCCGCCACCCCCUCUCUCUUUACAAUCCACCUCCCUUUUUAUUUUUUUUUCUAUUUAACCUCAAUUUCUGGCGGUGGCAAGAACGAUAAAAGGUGGAAAAUAAUUUGUUUUGUUGCACAUGUUAGUGUUUGGAAGGGAAUUGAUUGAAAGAAAAAAAAGAAGUUUUUGGGCAGUUGCGAUUGGGUUGGUCCGAUGGUCGGCGACAACAGAUUUUUGGGGCUUUUAUGACUGAAUUUUUAACUUUUGUGAUUUGGUCUAGAAUUUGGGGUUUUGUGAUUAAGUUUCCAACGAUCGUGAUCUUUGAUUUUGCAGCAAAACAUGAACAUCUUCUCGUUUUGGUUCAUUAUAGGAAAGUUGGGGUUAGAAAACAAAGAACAAUAAGAUAAAAAAACAGGGGGUCUUGUUGCUUGUUGUAGCUUGUGUUGGAGGUGAAUUAGAGAGAGAUAGAGAUGGACAAUGCAGUCUCUUUGGAAAUUGUUCCUCCUCAUCUUCCUCCUCUCAUCUCUCUCUCUUUUCCUCAUUGGCCUCCAACUUCGGCUUCGAAGAAGUGGAAAAUCAUUCAAAAGGGGGUACGGGCUAAACGGUGAAUGUGGUUGUGGGACUUUGAUAAACUUCACUGUUCCUCCCAGGCCUGGUGAACAAAUUCAGAUCCGGGACAUCUGGAGAGUUACCUAGCAGAAAUUAAGAGAGGAAGUAAGGAGGUUGGAGGAACUAACGUGGCUUAGCCUUGAACAAAGAUUUAGAGAUCAACAACUUUUUUGUUGUGUUGUAAUGUUGGUGUAUGAAGGCUUGUUAUACGUGUGAACUUUGAACUAAUUUAGGACUUAUAAUAUUGCACUUAUUAUGAA